rnacentral:misc_RNA from 1 species
AAUGAAGAACGCAGCGAAAUGCGAUAAGUAAUGUGAAUUGCAGAAUUCAGUGAAUCAUCGAAUCUUUGAACGCACAUUGCGCCCUCUGGUAUUCCGGGGGGCAUGCCUGUUCGAGCGUCAUUAUAACCACUCAAGCUCUCGCUUGGUAUUGGAGUUCGCGAUCUCGCGGCUCCUAAAAUCAGUGGCGGUGCCUGUCGGCUCUACGCGUAGUAAUACUCCUCGCGAUUGAGUCCGGUAGGUUUACUUGCCAGCAACCCCCAAUUUUUACAGGUUGACCUCGGAUCAGGUAGGGAUACCCGCUGAACUUAAGCAUAUCAAUAAGCGGAGGA